GAGCGAAGGGCCCAGCAGAGGGGUGAUGAACUCGUGAGUUGAGACCUCUCUAACUUCUCGGUACAACCUUCGCAAAGUGAAGCCUGCCGUGAUCGUACGACGCCUGAACUCUGUGGUUUUCCUGGUGUCUCGUACACGGCUACAGAUCC